CCUACGGGGGGCAGCAGUGAGGAAUAUUGGUCAAUGGACGAGAGUCUGAACCAGCCAAGUAGCGUGAAGUAUGCCUUCCCUAUUUUUUGUCAAUUUCUUUUAUAUGGGAAUAAAAUGUUCCACGUGUGGGAUUUUGUAUGUACCAUAUGAAUAAGGAUCGGCUAACUCCGUGCCAGCAGCCGCGGUAAUACGGAGGAUCCGAGCGUUAUCCGGAUUUAUUGGGGUUAAAGGGAGCGUAGGUGGAUUGUUAAGUCAGUUGUGAAAGUUUGCGGCUCAACCGUAAAAUUGCAGUUGAAACUGGCAGUCUUGAGUACAGUAGAGGUGGGCGGAAUUCGUGGGGUAGCGGUGAAAUGCUUAGAUAGCACGAAGAACUCCGAUUGCGAAGGCAGUUCACUGGACUGCAACUGACACUGAGGCUCGAAAGUGUGGGUAUCAAACAGGAUUAGAUACCCUGGUAGUC
rnacentral:rRNA from 1 species